GAUGAAUGCUGGCGGCGUGCCUAAUACAUGCAAGUCGAGCGGUAAGGCCCUUCGGGUACACGAGCGGCGGACGGCUGAGUAACGCGUGGGAACAUGCCCCAAAGUGAGGGAUAACGCACCGAAAGGUGUGCUAAUACCGCAUAUGGUCUUCGGAUUAAAGGAUUUAUCCGCUUUGGGAGUGGCCCGCGUACGAUUAGAUUGUUGGUGAGGUAACGGCUCACCAAGUCGACGAUCGUUAACUGGUCUGAGAGGAUGAUCAGUCAGACUGGAACUGAGACACGGUCCAGACUCCUACGGGAGGCAGCAGUAAGGAAUCUUCCACAAAUGGCGAAAGCCUGAUGGAGCAACGCCGCGUGCAGGAUGAAGGCCCUCGGGUCGUAAACUGCUUUUAUGAGUGAAGAAUAAUGACGGUAACUCAUGAAUAAGCACCGGCUAACUAACGUGCCAGCAGCCGCGGUAAU
rnacentral:rRNA from 1 species